rnacentral:rRNA from 1 species
GUGGAUCCUGUGAACUGCAGGACACAUGAACACCGACAAGUUGAACGCAUAUUGCACAUCGUACCACAGUACGAUGUACACAUUUUUGAGUGCCUAUAUUUAUCGAUACAACUAUACGUGUGUGUGCGCGUCCCACUACCGGGUGGACAGGUGCACGGCCCAUGGCACGUAUGCGUAGUGAUGUUUUCCCUCCCGCUUCGGUCAGGCGGUAAAACGUUUAAGAUAGUCAGACACCUGUGUGGCGGGCGUGGUUGAUGAGUACAUCCCAUACCUGCCUCCGUGGCUGCGUGGCCUUGUUGUGUUUCAUCAUCCACGAUCAUCAUACCCAAUAAGCCUCAAAUUAUGUGUGACUACCCCCUAAAUUUAAACAUAUCGACAC